CCUACGGGUGGCAGCAGUGGGGAAUAUUGGACAAUGGGGGCAACCCUGACCCAGCCAUGCCGCGUGUGUGAAGAAGGCCCUCGGGUUGUAAAGCACUUUCAGUGAGGAAGAACGCCUGGUGGUUAAUACCCAUCAGGAAAGACAUCACUCACAGAAGAAGCACCGGCUAACUCCGUGCCAGCAGCCGCGGUAAUACGGAGGGUGCGAGCGUUAAUCGGAAUUACUGGGCGUAAAGCGCGCGUAGGUGGCUUGAUAAGCCGGUUGUGAAAGCCCCGGGCUCAACCUGGGAACGGCAUCCGGAACUGUCAAGCUAGAGUGCAGGAGAGGAAGGUAGAAUUCCCGGUGUAGCGGUGAAAUGCGUAGAGAUCGGGAGGAAUACCAGUGGCGAAGGCGGCCUUCUGGACUGACACUGACACUGAGGUGCGAAAGCGUGGGUAGCAAACAGGAUUAGAUACCCUUGUAGUC
rnacentral:rRNA from 1 species